CUCUAGAAAACAUCUCAAGAUGAUCCAGGACCCAUCAAGCAUUGUCUACAUGAAGGUAGCUUAUCCACUGGAACAAUGAAAACUAGCAUACUACACCAGCCUUCAGCAUAUAGUAGACUCUCCUACUGGCCUUGAAGAAGCAAGUGCCUGGGAUGUGAACUACCUGUGGAAAGAGCCGUGUGGCAGGGAACUGCAGGUGGCCUUUAGGACCUGAAGGCCACAGUCCUACAGCCACAAGGAGCUGAAUUCUGCCAACAGCCAUGUGAGCUAGGAAAAAGACCCCGAGGUCCAGAUGAGAAUAUAGUCUGGUCCAUAUCAUGAUUAAAGCCUUGUGAGACCCUCAACAGAGGAUCCAAUUAAGUCGUGGCCAGAUGCCUGUCCCAUGGAAACUCUCUAAAAUGUCAAUACGUAUGGCAUUCUAUCUGUGAACCUGGGGAGAAAUGCCCCUGCUGUUUCCACCUGACCCAUUCAAUAUGAGAAACUGAUUUUGGAAUUUGAGGCAAUUCCCGGCAUGUUACAGCAGGUGCUGAUAUCUGAAUAUUGAAUUUGGGGAGUCUAAACAGAAGAAAUUUUAUACUAAUAUGAUUUAACACAAAGGUUUGAUAUAUGAUUGUAAAAAAAGAUGAGGUGACUGUCCUAUUCAUUUAUAAACAACAAGCUUCUCAGCAUAGUGCGUAGCAUACAGUAGGCAAUACAUAUUUUUAAGUGAAUGACAGAGUAAAGGAUGGCCACAUUAAUUGUCAUCCAGUACAUCUGAGUAGAAAUCACAUUCAUUCUUUAAGGACCAGCUAUUUCCCCUGAAAUUGUGCUUCAGUUUGGGAGCGAUAUACACAUCAGGAAGGUAAAAAGAGAUUAGAUUAGAUUAGAUUAGAUUAGAUUAGAUUAGAUUAGAUUAGAUUAGAUUAAAAGCAGAAAUCAUAGGUUGAUGUUCCAAGUAGUAAAUAUUAGUAGGCCCACAUCUUUACCCCUAUCUUCCCUUUGAUUCUGAUUUCUGAGUUUGAACAUGUAACGUGCUUUGGCUAAUGGGACAUUAGAGACUUGGGAAAGCACCUGUGUGUCUCUGCUCACCAUCUUGUUCUUCUGCCAUUGCCCAGAGGACAUGCCCAGGCUCAUGAGCUGGAAGAUAAAGGACACUGGUGUAGAGCUGAGUCUCUCCAGUCGUUCUAGCCAAGGCCAUCCUAGAUCAGCCAACAGUCAGCCAAACCCUAGACAUUUACCUCACUUUGAUGAAGCCAGCUGCCAUGUGGAAAAGGCCCACAUGGUCGUGAACUGCGGAAUCUCUGCUUAACAGCCAAUGAGGAACUGAGGCAGCCAAAACAAUCUGGCAAGGAACUGAAUCCUGCCAGUAGCCAUGUAAUUGAGCUUAGAAGAAGAUUCUUCCUCAACUGAGCCUUCAGAUGAGACCACAGACCCAACAAAUACCUUCACUGUAAUUCCAUGAUAGACCCUGAAACAUUGGACCCAGCUAAGCUUUUUCCAAAUUCCACAGAAACUGGGAGAUAAUAAGGCUCUGGACCAUGAGGGGCCACAUCCACACCAGAUGAAGAGAAUGAUUCAUUGGCCUGUGAUUUAAGACGGAGCUGAAUGCAGAAAAUG